rnacentral:rRNA from 1 species
UGGGGAAUUUUGGACAAUGGGCGAAAGCCUGAUCCAGCAAUGCCGCGUGUGUGAAGAAGGCCUUCGGGUUGUAAAGCACUUUUGUCCGGAAAGAAAUCCUUGGCUCUAAUACAGUCGGGGGAUGACGGUACCGGAAGAAUAAGCACCGGCUAACUACGUGCCAGCAGCCGCGGUAAUACGUAGGGUGCAAGCGUUAAUCGGAAUUACUGGGCGUAAAGCGUGCGCAGGGCGGUUUGCUAAGACCGAUGUGAAAUCCCCGGGCUCAACCUGGGAACUGCAUUGGUGACUGGCAGGCUAGAGUAUGGCAGAGGGGGGUAGAAUUCCACGUGUAGCAGUGAAAAUGCGUAGAGAUGUGGAGGAAUACCGAUGGCGAAGGCAGCCCCCUGGGGCCAAUACUGACGCUCAUGCACGAAAAGCGUGGGGGAGCAAAACAGGAUUAGAUACCCUGGUAGUCCACGCCCUAAACGAUGUCAACUAGUUGUUGGGGACUUCAUUUCCUUAGUAACGUAGCAACGCGUGAAGUUGACCGCCUGGGGGAGUACGGUCGCAAAGAUU